AUUGAACGAGGUGAUGGAGCCCGCCUGAAUCUCACGAUUCGAACUGCUCAUAUGCUGAUAGCCCCUGCCAUGUG
rnacentral:ncRNA from 2 species